rnacentral:rRNA from 1 species
AGUUCACAUCGACGGGGAGGUUUGGCACCUCGAUGUCGGCUCAUCGCAUCCUGGGGCUGUAGUCGGUCCCAAGGGUUGGGCUGUUCGCCCAUUAAAGCGGUACGCGAGCUGGGUUCAGAACGUCGUGAGACAGUUCGGUCCCUAUCCGUCGUGGGCGUAGGAAAUUUGAGAGGAGCUGUCCUUAGUACGAGAGGACCGGGAUGGACAUACCUCUGGUGUACCAGUUGUCGUGCCAACGGCAUAGCUGGGUAGCUAUGUAUGGACGGGAUAAGUGCUGAAAGCAUCUAAGCAUGAAGCCCCCCUCAAGAUGAGAUUUCCCAACUUCGGUUAUAAGAUCCCUCGAAGAUGACGAGGUUAAUAGGUUCGAGGUGGAAGCGUGGUGACACGUGGAGCUGACGAAUACUAAUCGAUCGAAGACUUAAUCAAUUUUUAAA